GCAACACUCCACGCACAGCAGGAGUGGGAGCAAGGAUGCUGAGGCAGUAGUUCAGCAUUGCCAUGGUGAGCUGCUGCUGUAGUGCUUUAUAAUUUUUUGGCCCCUUCCUAGAUGUUCGCAGCCUGAUGGUUCUGCACAAUUGGUAGGAGCAGCGAAUGUGCUCAUGGAAGCUCAUUAACUUGAUUAGCGACGGCGCCACUCCUCCUCAAGGCCACGGGUGAAGCAGCAGCGGCGCCGCUCCUCCUCAUGGCCAUGGGUGAAGCAGCAGCGGCGCCGCUCCUCCUCAUGGCCAUGGCCACAUCCUCCUCCACACCUCCUUUGCACGCGCUUCCCGCUUCCGCUUGCUCGUUCUCCGGGUGUUGUAGUUAGAACAGGUGAACACUCUUUCUCUCCUUUUCUCUCUUCCACAGGUCCUCUAUUUUUUUCUCUUCAACGGGUCCUCUCUCUUCCUCACAACCCCUCCUCAUCCCUCUCCAAUCUCUCCCAUUCAGGCAGGGUGGAGAGGGCACACAGAAGCUAGGCAGGCCACAGACAACAGUGUGCUGCAGACUUGAGUGAGGAUAACAGUGAGUGACACUGGACGAAUCCGUUCUGGUCGAGCCCCCACCCAGACGG